rnacentral:sRNA from 1 species
CUUGACACCAGGCUUACAUCCAAAUACAGAUUUACCCAGAAAAGAAUGAAACAAUGUUCAGAACCACUGAAAACUGUGUUCAAGGAAGUCAUUUGGAUUUUUUUGAGACAGGGGUCUUACUCUGUUGCCCAGGCUGGAAUGCAAUGGUACAGUCUUGGCUCACUACAGCCUCUACCGCUCCCGCUCAAGUAAUCCUUCCACCUCAGCCCCCUGAGUAGCUGGGACUACAAGCACAUGCCACCAUGCCAGGCUAAUUUUUGUAUUUUUUGUAGAGACUGUGUUUCACCGUAUUGCCCGGGCUGGUCUUGAACUCUUGGACUCAAGCAAUCCACCUGCCUCAGCCUCCCAAAGUGCUCACAGGCAUGAGGCAACGUGCCCAGCCUCAUUUGAUACUUUUAAAAUAUAUUUUUAAUAUUUUUUUCCUCCAAGAUGCCUCCCCCAUUGUGUAACUUUCAGGUCUUACAAACCUGGAUCCACCCCAGCAGUCUGAGUUGCAUAUAUACAUACCUCCUGUUUACAUGUUCCUCCUCCCACUAUUAUGUCACCUUUCUAAACACCGCAAUUGGGAGAUGAGACAAUGCACAGGAACCAAGAACUGUUCUGGUGAACAGGACCCAGGGACAGUGAGAGGGGGCUAGGGACAAAAGGUGAAUGGGGAGCUGGUUCAGGUUAGAAGAAUGGGUGCAUGUGAGGGGCAUUUGGAGAAUGCCAGCUGGGGGAGGGAGAGUGGCUGAGCCUGUGGGCACAGUAGACACAUGUAGUAAUGACAGGGAUGUGUUAUGCCCCACACCAGGUGUUGUCCUACAUCAAUGGGGUCACAACAAGCAAACCUGGAGUAUCCUUGGUGUACUCUAUGCCCUCCCGGAACCUGUCCCUGCGGCUGGAGGGUCUCCAGGAGAAAGACUCUGGCCCCUACAGCUGCUCCGUGAAUGUGCAAGACAAACAAGGCAAAUCUAGGGGCUACAGCAUCAAAACCUUAGAACUCAAUGUACUGGUUCCUCCAGCUCCUCCAUCCUGCCGUCUCCAGGGUAUGCCCCGUGUGGGGGCAAACGUGACCCUGAGCUGCCAGUCUCCAAGGAGUAAGCCCGCUGUCCAAUACCAGUGGGAUCGGCAGCUUCCAUCCUUCCAGACUUUCUUUGCACCAGCAUUAGAUGUCAUCCGUGGGUCUUUAAGCCUCACCAACCUUUCCUCUUCCAUGGCUGGAGUCUAUGUCUGCAAGGCCCACAAUGAGGUGGGCACUGCCCAGUGUAAUGUGACCCUGGAAGUGAGCACAGGGCCUGGAGCUGCGGUGGUUGCUGGAGCUGUUGUGGGUACCCUGGUUGGACUGGGGUUGCUGGCUGGGCUGGUCCUCUUGUACCACCGCCGGGGCAAGGCCCUGGAGGAGCCAGCCAAUGAUAUCAAGGAGGAUGCCAUUGCUCCCCGGACCCUGCCCUGGCCCAAGAGCUCAGACACAAUCUCCAAGAAUGGGACCCUUUCCUCUGUCACCUCUGCACGAGCCCUCCGGCCACCCCAUGGCCCCCCCAGGCCUGGUGCAUUGACCCCCACGCCCAGUCUCUCCAGCCAGGCCCUGCCCUCACCAAGACUGCCCACGACAGAUGGGGCCCACCCUCAACCAAUAUCCCCCAUCCCUGGUGGGGUUUCUUCCUCUGGCUUGAGCCGCAUGGGUGCUGUGCCUGUGAUGGUGCCUGCCCAGAGUCAAGCUGGCUCUCUGGUGUGAUGACCCCGCCACUCAUUGGCUAAAUGAUUUGGGGUCUCUCCUUCCUAUAGGGGUCACCUCUAGCACAGAGGCCUGAGUCAUGGGAAAGAGUCACACUCCUGACCCUUAGUACUCUGCCCCCACCUCUCUAUACUGUGGGAAAACCAUCUCAGUAAGACCUAAGUGUCCAGCAGAUAGAAGGAGAAGAGGAAGUGGAUCUGGAAUUGGGAGGAGCCUCCACCCACCCCCGACUCCUCCUUAUGAAGCCAGCUGCUGAAAUUAGCCACUCACCAAGAGUGAGUGGCAGAGACUUCCAGUCACUGAGUCUCCCGGGCCCCCUUGAUCUGUACCACCCCCCUAUCUAACACCACCCUUGGCUCCCACUCCAGCUGCCGGUAUUGAUAUAACCUGUCGGGCUGGCUUGGUUAGGUUUUACUGGGGCAGAGGAUAGGGAAUAUCUUUUUAAAACUAACAUGAAAUAUGUGUUGUUUUCAUUUGCAAAUUUAAAUAAAGAUACAUAAUGUUUGUAUGAGAUAAGAAACAA